rnacentral:siRNA from 1 species
UUGGUUCCAUGCGUGCUUGAU